rnacentral:rRNA from 1 species
GACGAACGCUGGCGGCGUGCCUAAUACAUGCAAGUUGAGCGAUGAAGAUUGGUGCUUGCACCAAUUUGAAGAGCAGCGAACGGGUGAGUAACGCGUGGGGAAUCUGCCUUUGAGCGGGGGACAACAUUUGGAAACGAAUGCUAAUACCGCAUAACAACUUUAAACAUAAGUUUUAAGUUUGAAAGAUGCAAUUGCAUCACUCAAAGAUGAUCCCGCGUUGUAUUAGCUAGUUGGUGAGGUAAAGGCUCACCAAGGCGAUGAUACAUAGCCGACCUGAGAGGGUGAUCGGCCCAAUUGGGACUGGGAAACGGCCCAAACUCCUACGGGAGGCAGCAGUAGGGAAUCUUCGGCAAUGGACGAAAGUCUGACCGAGCAACGCCGGGUGAGUGAAGAAGGUUUUCGGAUCGUAAAACUCUGUUGGUAGAGAAGAACGUUGGUGAGAGUGGAAAGCUCAUCAAGUGACGGUAACUACCCAGAAAGGGACGGCUAACUACGUG